UACGUAGGGUGCGAGCGUUAAUCGGAAUGACUGGGCGUAAAGGGUGCGCAGGCGGUUGGUCAAGACGGAUGUGAAAGCCCCGGGCUUAACCUGGGAGUGUCAUUCGUGACUGACGAACUAGAAUAUGGCAGAGGGAGGCGGAAUUCCACAUGUAGCAGUGAAAUGCGUAGAUAUUGGGAAGAACACCGGUGGCGAAGGCGGCGACCUGGUCCGACACUGACGCUGAGGCGCGAAAGCGUGGGGAGCAAACAGG
rnacentral:rRNA from 1 species